UACGUAGGGAGCAAGCGUUGUCCGGAAUCAUUGGGCGUAAAGCGCGCGUAGGCGGCCUCAUAAGUCCGUUGUGAAAGUCAAAGGCUCAACCUUUGAAAGCCGAUGGAUACUGUGAGGCUAGAGUCCGGAAGAGGCGAGUGGAAUUCCUGGUGUAGCGGUGGAAUGCGCAGAUAUCAGGAGGAACACCGGUGGCGAAGGCGGAUCUCUGGGCCAUUACUGACGCUGAGGAGCGAAAGCGUGGGGAGCGAACAGG
rnacentral:rRNA from 1 species